ACGUAGGGUGCGAGCGUUAAUCGGAAUUACUGGGCGUAAAGCGUGCGCAGGCGGUUCGUUGUGUCUGAUGUGAAAGCCCCGGGCUCAACCUGGGAAUGGCAUUGGAAACUGGCGAGCUAGAGUGUGGCAGAGGGGGGUGGAAUUCCGCGUGUAGCAGUGAAAUGCGUAGAUAUCAGGAGGAAUACCGAUGGCGAAGGCAGGUCUCUGGGCUGAAACUGACGCUCAUGCACGAAAGCGUGGGGAGCAAACAGGA
rnacentral:rRNA from 1 species